rnacentral:lncRNA from 1 species
CAAAUUAUCAUACUAUGAAUGAUAAUUCCAUUAGUCAAUAAGCACCAGGCCUUUGGGCCUCCAAUGAUUAUUAAACUAAUGGACUCAUUAUCACUCACUUAAUGAGAGGCUAUGACUUAGUUAUCACUAUAACUUAAUCAUUUUAGGGACCUAAUAAUUUUUGAGGAUUUCUUAAAGGAUAGAAGAGAAGAAAUUAACCAGCCAAUUUCAAUCCUCCCACUGACUUCAUCAAGUUAGAUUAAAAAGGAUUUAAUUAAAGCCGGCAUUAGGAGCACCUAAAUCAGUCACACUGAUUUAUCUAAUGACAUGGGUGAGCCCUAAUCACCAAGUGAUCUAAUCAAAACUUAACUCACCAGGUUGGCAAGGUAAGUGAGAUCAGUGGUGGGGAUAUGCCAUUAACUCGUCAGAGAUCAAAUCAAUGCGAGUAGCUCCCACUUAAGAACCACUGGUCAAACUGUCGAACUUACCUUAGACACCAACCGGUUUAUUAGUUUUAAUUUGAUCAACUUAGUAAAUAGGGUUUCACCGCCUAGCCAUGAAUUAAGUCCAUCUUGGUCUAGUUAAAGACAUGGACCCAUUCAACUACAACUAUU